rnacentral:rRNA from 1 species
ACUCCUACGGGAGGCAGCAGUGGGGAAUAUUGCGCAAUGGGCGAAAGCCUGACGCAGCAACGCCGCGUGAGGGACGAAGGCCUUCGGGUUGUAAACCUCUUUCAGCAGGGAAGAAGCGAAAGUGACGGUACCUGCAGAAGAAGCACCGGCUAACUACGUGCCAGCAGCCGCGGUAAUACGUAGGGUGCAAGCGUUGUCCGGAAUUAUUGGGCGUAAAGAGCUCGUAGGUGGUUUGUCGCGUCUGCUGUGAAAAUUCGGGGCUCAACCCCGGACUUGCAGUGGGUACGGGCAGACUAGAGUGUGGUAGAGGAGACUGGAAUUCCUGGUGUAGCGGUGGAAUGCGCAGAUAUCAGGAGGAACACCAGUGGCGAAGGCGGGUCUCUGGGCCACAACUGACACUGAGGAGCGAAAGCGUGGGGAGCGAACAGGAUUAGAUACCCUGGUAGUCCACGCCGUAAACGUUGGGCGCUAGGUGUGGGG